rnacentral:rRNA from 1 species
CCUACGGGUGGCUGCAGUGGGGAAUUUUGGGCAAUGGGGGAGACCCUGACCCAGCGACGCCGCGUGAGGGAGGAAGGCCCUUGGGUCGUAAACCUCUUUUGCAGGGGAAGAAGCGGAUGACGGUACCUUGCGAAUAAGUCCCGGCUAACUACGUGCCAGCAGCCGCGGUAACACGUAGGGGACGAGCGUUGUCCGGAAUUACUGGGCGUAAAGGGCGCGCAGGCUGUGCGUCGAGUCGGCUGUUGAAAGGCGGGGCUCAACCCCGCGAAGCGGUCGAGACCGGCGUGCUGGAGAGCUGCAGAGGCAGGCGGAAUUCCCGGUGUAGCGGUGAAAUGCGUAGAUAUCGGGAAGAACACCGGUGGCGAAGGCGGCCUGCUGGGCAGUUACUGACGCUGAGGCGCGAAAGCCAGGGUAGCGAACGGGAUUAGAUACCCUUGUAGUC